rfam:Triticum aestivum genome assembly, contig: Triticum_aestivum_CS42_TGACv1_scaffold_603671_7DL
UUAAUACUCCCUCCGUCCGGAAAUACUACUUGUCAUUGAAAUGGAUGUAUCUAGAUGUAUUUUAGUUGUAGAUACAUUCAUUUUGCUGACAAGUAAUUCCGGACGGAGGGAGUAAGUG